UACGUAGGGGGCUAGCGUUGUCCGGAAUCAUUGGGCGUAAAGAGCGUGUAGGCGGCCCGAUAAGUCCGCUGUGAAAGUCCAAGGCUCAACCUUGGGAUGCCGGUGGAAACUGUCGGGCUAGAGUCCGGAAGAGGCGAGUGGAAUUCCUGGUGUAGCGGUGAAAUGCGCAGAUAUCAGGAGGAACACCAAUGGCGAAGGCAGCUCGCUGGGACGGUACUGACGCUGAGACGCGAAAGCGGGGAGCGAACAGG
rnacentral:rRNA from 1 species